UUUCAGUUAUCAGGGAAGCAGCUAGAGCUAAUUUCUGAUUUUUUUAUAAAAAAAAUUUCCAUUUCCAGCAGUGGUUUGGGACAUCCUUGGGCCCCAACACAGUGUCCAAAUGCAGUGGUAGCUGGUCAGUAGCAAAUCACUUACUUUGAUAAAAGAAAAUACACAUAAAAAGGCAGAAAAAAUCAGAAUCUUCCAGGCCAGAGGGACUAGUUUUCUCUGAUAGCUUGCCCUUCUGUGUUCCGAAGACCUGAGGAGACAUUGUAUGAACACAGAUAACUCCAUAAGUGCAUGGAUGGAGGAUCACAGAAAGGGGGGAUGGGUCAACACAGAGACACUUCAGAAGAAGUUGGCCUCCCAUCCUCUCCUAAGGAGUAGGAGCCAUCUCUAAAUGAGGAGAAAUGUAGGCUACAUUUAGCAUAAUGUUUUACUCAAGCCUUGCUGUCUGCCAGCUUCCUGUACGUUGAUAUAUGUCAGUUUGUUCAGGCCCUAGCCAUAUCCCAAAUGUUUAGUUCUAUAUUCACCCCAUGACAUCAUCAACCCUCUCACCCUUUCCCUUUUGCUCCUGGCUUCUGAGCUGCCUCCUCUCCACAAGCCCCUGUCCUUGUCCACCAGUACCACUGAGCUCCUGUUGGAUAUCUACCCUGGCUGGCUGCUAACUGUCCUCUUCUCUCCACUGUACAGCUAGCUCAGUCCCAAAGUUUGAAGCAGAAUAGACAAGGGAUAUCUCCUCUGGUGCCAUCAACUUGGAAACAAGUCUUUCUCUAGAAUUAUCCAUGGCCUGAAGCUGAUAGGGAACGCAGAGAAAUAGUGUGCUCUGGGGGAUUCGACAGAGAGGCAACUCUGAGCAAGACAACUGGGAAAAGCUUUGCAGGUUGGAGAUGAAGUGCCUUUCCUCAAGGCCACAGAACCCACAUGAAAAAAGAAUCAAUCGGACUUUUGGAACCUAAGGUAGCGCAAGGCAUUAGAGCCAGUGGAAAGGACGCUAUUCUGAACUGAGGGACUGUGCUUGGGCAUUGGGUCCGAAGUCACGGGACAUUCAAAGCCAGAUACAAAAGGCCUGGAAGUGAACAAUCCAUGCCUAAACACGGAAGAGCUUGAAAGCUGGUAAAUGUCAGAUGUUUAUUCUGGGUCAUCAUUAAGGUCUUGAGUGGAUUUGCUUAUCAACAGCAGCUAUUCUGUCGGUGGGAGCAGGAGAGACGGGGGUUUUAACCAUGUGGAGACAGCUCUUUUAAAGACACAUUGCAACCUCUCUGCCGUGCACGGUAAGCUAUACAGAUAAUUCUUUUUGCGGGCUAUGAACUGUUGUCUCCUGAGCAAUGUGCUAGAAAAACAACGCAGUUUUUUUUUCUCUCUCUCCCUCUCCACUUUGUGGAAACGCCAUUUUUCAUUAUCCGCUGAAGGCAAGCCUGCUGAAAAUUGAGAUGAGAGUAGAGAUGCCCCUCCUACAGAUGGCCAGGCAUGUCCUGACAAACACACUGCAAAGAUCUCCGUGAGAGCCUAGGGAGACCUCCGCCAGCAGGUUUCCCACAACGAAGCUGGCAGCGCCAAGCCUUUGAAAGAUGUGGACCCUUGCAGUCCAUCCAUUUCUGCCGCCCUCUGUUCUCUGCUGAGGGUUUUGCGGGCUGCUGUUGUUUCUCCUCUUCAGUCCAACCAAGGCCCGGCUAAAGAAAAAGUGCCAAGACAAACAGAACGAGAGCCUUGGGGACCCCGUGUUGGGUACAGAGCGUGAGCGUGGUAAUCAUUCUUCUGAUUUGUGCUCCGAUGUGUUUUCUGUUCGCUUUCACACAGAACGCGCACUCUCCCCCUGGAUCGCAAAUAAUCCGAACCAGGGUAAAAUCAUUACAAAGUGGCCUUCAAACACCACGUCUCUGCUGGAACUGAAUGAGCGAUCAGACAUUUAAAUACGGAAGCUGGGAAUUCGGCGAAUUACGUUGGUUCAAUCGUUUGAAAGCUCAGGGCUGUUUAAACUUUGCUUUCUCAGAACACCUCCCCUUCUCCCCCCCUCUUGUUUUUCCUCUCUUUCAAAAAGAAUUCUUCACCGCCUCCUCCCCCCAACACACACACACACACACACACACACACACACACACACACACACACUCUUUUCAUUUCAGUGACUUGGGUUUGGGCUUUAGUCCCUUAGACUGAAUCUGGGGUCUUAGGUAUGCAGGGCACAGUGCCUUACCUGUGAAUGCCACUCCUAGUUCCAUGAUUUGGUGUGGUCCGCAAAGCCAAAUAUAAAGAAAUAAUUUCUACCUCAUUCCUAACACACGGAAGAAGGAAAGGAAAGAGUCUAACUGUCAGGAUCCCGAGCGUCUGGUUACCUCGGUCCUUGACUUGGAUUAUGACUCUUGAGGUAACCAACCCCUCAUGUGCCCCUAGUAUCUGCUGACCAUCAUCUCUGAAGUCAAUCACAGGAGAGAAAAAAACUUCAUGUUAUAUGUGGGAUGAUGGCUUCAGUUGUCUUUCCUCAUCCCAUCCAGAAGACGGGUGGAGAAGCCCAACUGGGAACGGAAGUUGAACAUCCUCCAUUGCAGCGGCAAGGCUCUUCUCGGGCAAUGCUGCUGCCAUGACAGUCACGCAAAGGAAUCCUACCACAGGGCUCCAGGACCCUGGUUAAUGCCAAGUGCUGGCUUUUCAUUUAGAUACUCAAGGAUCAAAAGGAAACUAUUCAAUAAAAAAGGAACCUAAAGGGAGACCCCGGUGCCCACCUAAACCUUAGUAAAAAAAAAAAAAAAAAAAAAAAACCACUUGUUCAAAUGCAGCUUCCUCCACCGGCCUUUUCAUGCAAGCCCUUCUGCUUCUUGCACACAAGUUUGUUACAGAAUAAGGAUUUUCCCUAUCGCAACUCCACACUCCCUCCCCUUGCAGCUGACUAGGAUGUCAGGAGGGUGAUGUGACAGCUUGUUGCUAAGGAACUGAAGACAGUGUCACCACUCAUCCCCCUCCCCCUAAUGAAGAAGAGGAAAUCUUCAUCAACAGAUUGAAUGGGGAGAAUGCAUGAGUGUGUUCUUCUGUGUGCAUGUGCACACAUGUAUACUAUAGUUUCUGUCUGAAGUGCAAAUCAUCGGUCACCGGGUCCAAAGAAGCUGCUCUGGAGAAGCCUUCGACUGCUGCUUCCUCGCCCACGUGCCACGCCUGUAUCUGAACUUUUCACUUCAGUGUGCGUGCGCCUUCACACUGUCCUGUCAGAGAUUUACCAGAGAUGUAUCACACUCUGACCUUAGUGACUUCCUCCCUUUAAAGAGUCAAGUACAAACUUUGCAAAGUCUCUAAUACGCUAGGUGUUCAGCAGACAAGACUGGGACAUGAAAUUCCUCCCACCUGGAGCACGCCCACACCAAGGCUUCUCUAAAAUCUAUUUAUCUUAGUCACGACCUCUGAGCAUGAAUAGACGAAAGUGGUGAAUGUCCCCGUGUCCCUGUCCCAUGUGCCUGAGAGUGGGGAAUAGUUAGAAUUUAUACUGUGACAAUUAUUAGAGAGAAGGGGGUUAACUUCAAGAUUUAAAAAAAAAAAGAAUUGUAUGACAAUCUGAACAUUUAAAAUAUAUCCUAUUUGGUGCCAUUGCAAAAGACCUCUGCAUCUCGGUUUAGCUCCCCUGUUAUUCAUGUUGCUGAUUUUGUGAUUGUGAGGCUAAGUGGGAAAAACUAACAGCAGAUGAUCCCACAAAUGAAUGGCACACACACAGCAAUAGAUAAGUGUAGCCAUGGUUAUGGAGGAAAUGGAUACAUACAAAAGAGAAAGCGGUGAUCCUUUGAAAGCAGAAGAUAAGACUUUAAUUACUUAUACAGAAAGAUACAGAAGGAUGUGAGCUGAAUUUGAUUGAAGGGAAAGAAACUUCUUGUCAAAUCCCUGGGUGCUGGGCCAACACUUGGCUUGAACUCCCAGCGAUUUCUGUUGCGGUGCAUUCUGAGUAAUGCAUGUUUAUUCUGCCUAAUUGAGGAGGCUGGACGCUAAUGAGUUUUCUGAGCACUCGGAAGGAGAAUGCUGAAUAUGAAAGGGGAGCCAAAGGCUACAUGGAAAUGGAAAACAAGAGGCAAGAUGGGGAGAGACUGUUCUGAGAACGUGGGAAAGUUCGUUUUAGUGGGCUGGGAGAAAUCCAAUUGAGACGGGUUGUAUAAAGAUGUGGUUAAAAGACACUGGCUCAUCCAAGUUAGAACUAAACUACAAAUCUAGUGUCUGCUUCUGGUCACCCAUCAAUGACUUGGGCAUGUACUGACAAGCAAACAUGUCACUCAAUCCUAUCCACUAUGUAUGCUACAUGGAAUUACUUUUUUGUUGGUUCGUUGAUGUUGGUUGUUGUUGUUGUUGCUGUUGUUGUUGUUGUUGUUGUUGUAAUACUUAGUGUUGCUAUAGUUUAAACUCUUCUUGAUCCUCCUGCCUCAGUGUGGCAGUGCUAUGAUUACAGGUGUGCACCAUCACAGGUAGCUAAGUUAAAUUUCUUUGCGUGCUCACCGAGGUUCUUUUCCUCAGUCUAUAAAUGAGGCUCUCGACAUCUGAAACACUAAAUUAAAACUGUGCCACUAAAGACAAAUGGUUUUACUAAUGCCAAUAUGUUUUUUGGUUUAAAGGAAUGAGAUCAAAAUGCCUCAAGACAAGAGCAUCAGCUUGCACCGAAUCCGCUCUACCCAGAUGCCCAGAGACUGAAAAGGGCACUAAGGAGUAGGAUCUGCCCUGUAGCUUUGAGGAAUGAUAGUAAACAGAUGGCAUAACAAUGGUCCUCAGGGUAGCUUCGGCCAAACUUGUCACAGAAGAAUAGUCAGAGUAGUUGGAGGUGGUGGAGAAGAAAAAGGGCAUCUUUGGGCAGGAAGGUGUAAGGAAAGGUCAGGUAGCUAAAUGACUGGAAUAUUUUGGCUACCUGGGUAGUUGAUUUUGGAUCUAAGAGUUACCAUGUGGGCUAAAGGGAUCAUUUCCGAGGUGUCUUCUAUAUGUGGUUGCCCUCUCUUCUCCCUCUCCCUCUCCCUCUCCCUCUCCCUCUCCCUCUCUCCCUCUCUCUCUCCCUCUCUCCCUCUCUCCCUCUCUCCCUCUCUCCCUCUCCCUCUCCCUCCGUCUCUCCCUCUCCCUCUCCCUCUCCCUCUCCCUGUCUCUCUCCCUCUCCCUCUCCCCUCUCCCUUUCUUUCUUCCCUUUCUUCCUCUUUCUUCUCUCCCCUCUUCUCGGACUCUUAUCUCUCCCCACUCCCUCCUCUCUCCUUGUCUCCUCUCCCAUCUCUCUUCUAGUGUCUCCACCUCCCUGCUCUCUGAUCCAUCAUGUCUCAGGCUCCUCAUAGCAUGACAACUUGGGAUCAUACAAUUUUUUUUAACUAGGCAGCUUAGAUUUCCAGGACAGUGUUCCCAGAGGGAGGGAAAAAAAAACCCUGCAAGUCUUCCUAUGACCUGGGCAAUGCCAAAUGUCACUUUAAUUGCAUCCGAACUCUCCAACAGAUCACAAGAGUCAGUCCAUGUUCCAGGGAAUGGGAGUGAAACUUAUUCCCUGAAUGAAAACAACGCCAAAAUCCACCUGCAGCCAAAUGUAAUCUACCACAAGAAAGAAAGAAUAAAGUGGAAUGGCUUAAUGAGAUGUCAGUGCUAGACAGAAAAGGUAGGCAAUCAUAAAAAGAAGCAGAGCUUUGAAGGUAAGGCCGAAAGGCUGAACACAUGGGGAUUUUACACUAGGCACUGUCUGCUGUAGGACUGUCUUUAGUCAUGAAAAUGAAAGUAUCAUCAUCUUCUGGCUUAUCAUAAUCUUCAUAGUCCCAAGCAUUGGACUAGGCAGAGGAGAGACACUGCCAUUCCCAUUAGAAGCUCCCUGACAAGACACUCUGCUGUCCAGGCGCAUGUGCUUUUGAAGGACAUAAGCUCCUUCAGGCCAUUGUCUUAAAAAACAAAGAAUACAACAGGCAAAAGAGUUCCCUAUGCAGUAGGGGGCUGGCUGCCUGCAAGUCUAACUUGCCCAACACUCCAAACCCAGUGCCAGGGCUGCCCUUGGUUCCUGACAGGGGACUGAGGUUUUCCAUCAUCCUUCUGUCUUUGAUCUCUUACCUUUUUGCAUGGAUGAACUCUCUUCACUGAGUCCUUAAAAUAUGCAUGUCUGAAAAAACGGCUGCUCCAGGCCAGUGUGGCCUCGGAUUCCUACGUGAGUGAUCUAUUUUCCAUUGCAAGCUGGAGUUCUGGGUUCUGAAGAGGAGGUAACUAGCUGGAUUAGGCUUAUCUCUGAACAGGUUUCCUCGGAGUCCAAUGUCCAUUCGCAGUACAGUCAUUGAGGCCUGCGAAGCAGGUUUAGAUGUUCAAAGAAAAGCAACCUAGAAGCAUCACCUGACUCCUGCUGCCAUCAGUAAGAGAAGACAGGUGGGAACCCCUUGACUAGAAGAAGCAUAGACCAGGUGAGUGACAAGAAGGAAGGGUGAGAAACAUGCCAGCCUGGCCCUGCAGACUCAGAUAAGGAGAAGUUUGGUUCCCAAGCCAUCAUUCACUCACAUUCCAGAUCCCUUCUUACCCUGAUAGAACAUCAGGCCCAUUUCCCAUUGAAUCUGUCAUGGCAGCUUUGAUGUAUGAAGCAGUCACGUAAUGCACGGUAAUGGAUAAUAUCAAAGAAGGUCCUUUCUUAUCUGGCUCUCGCAGAGGGUUUUUAAUGCUUGUAAUGGUUGGGGGCGGCUGGCUCUCCCUUCCUAUGCUACCCUCCAGCUUCUAGCUCUAUGACCAUGGCAUAGAAGAAAGACGGAUGACGGAUGAAUAAGGGCUUCCGUACUUCCAAUGAAAAUUACUAAUUCAAGAAAUGGUCAGGGAAACAAAUCCCGGUCAGAGAAAGGUAUUGAUACUGUUAAUUACUGCUUCAUGUGUCACGGGAAGAAAAAUGUAAGUCAGAAUUUUCCUAAUUAGUACACGCGAAGUCAAGUGAAUUUCAAAUUGAUGCAAACUCUGUGACCACCAGAGAAAAAUAUUGCUUUUCUUAUGGUAAAGUUAAGCAUAAAGUUAAAAAAAAUCAUCAUUUUCUUGUUAAUCAAGCUUACCUCCACAAUAACUUUGGACUCUAGCAUUCCUUCAGAAAUGCUGCCUGCUCAAAAUUCUCCAAACAGCGGCAGCAAAUGGAAUUCUGCUUGGGUAGGAGAAACGUGGCCAAGCAGUCAAAAUCAAUUUGUUCAUGUGAUUGACACUAGGGACUGUGUGUCAGCUGAGCUCUUUCAUACCAUCUGGGCUCUGAUUAUGAUCAAUAGGUAUUUGUGAUAUGCCCAGGAAAUGUGCUGUUUGAUUACUUUUACAUGGAAGAGAAGACACAAAUGUCUCAACCCAGAGUCCCCUGAUGUGGCUACAGAAGCCGGAUGAUGAAUUAUUAGAAUAUGGAGUUUGCACUGAUAAACUUUUGAACUUUCAUUGAACUUGUAGAUUAAGAAUAGGCAGUUUUUCCAAGAGGAGAAUUCACCAGACAACCAACAAUUUUUCUUUCACAUAUUUAAGCGAGAUGUUCGAUCUGGUAAGGAAAUAAUAGUAAUUUAUGUCUUUGAUAAUUGAGAAGGAUUAUAGUUCUAUACACAGAAAAAGCAACCGUCACCCAGGCCCUGUGAGUCACAAACCCAUUAAAGAAGAAGCUUCUAGCUUAAAAGCAGAUGAAACCUCUGGGUCUGGAGGGUGGUGUUUUCCAAGAGGCAGUUAAGAGAAGGAAAAGAAAUCCCCUAGAGACCUAUAAAAUUAGGGCUCUCUGUCUGCCUUCUUCCAAACAAGAAUAAUGAGAAUUAUCAGAUUCAGCAUGACACCCACACUGAAAGAAAAGCAUGCAUGAUCAGACCCAUUUCUCAAUAUGCAUGUUUCCCGCUUGCAGAUACCUUCAGGUCCACACAUACAUAGGCCUCCACAGACCUUGUUGAGAGACAGCCUUUCCAACAGCAGCCUCCUUCAAUCAGCAGAGAUCCGUCGUUCUAUGAACAUCACUUGCCCUUUAAUAUUUAAAAGCAGCCUAGAGAAGAUCAAGUAGGAAGACUGCUGACAUCUGAAAACAAGUCUGCUACAAUCAACUUGCUACAAGAAGUCAUUUUACCGAUAAAACUGACUUGAUCAGGUUUUUGAGAGAGAAGAAUUACUAAUUUUGCUGCUGUGGCUGUAUGAAAAACUAUAUGCUGGCUUGUUGGUUCAAUGCACUGGAGACUUCUAUUAGAUGCUGGACAUGCUACAGCUCAGUUACCCUUAUAAUGAUAAAGGCUUCUUUCAUGAUCUCCUCACUGGAAUACUUUGCUUCCUUGGAAUUCAAUUAUAGUCAAUCCCACCACGACGUUGAAGCACACAUUGUAGACAUUCACAUCUUAUGAUUGGUUAAUAACUGAGAUUUUAGUAGCCCAAGUGUUACCAGGUAAGGCAGGGAAACAGCCAACAAGGGUGAGGAUGGCAUUCCUAAAGAGAAAGUCAUGGAUAGAACAAGCUCUAUUAGACUGCUCUAAGCCAAGCUAGUUUGGCUACUGGGAAUGGAGAUUUCUUGAAUUUUCAAGAGUAAUGAGCCUUAGAGAAGGCAAUUAUAGAACCCAGAAUCCAGUAGUGGAAAGUCACCAGAGACCUGGGUAGGUGUAGAAUCCUAUUAUUCUCUGGGCCUCUCUAUCUCUGCUGGUCCUUCAGCACAUUGGCUGUCUUUCCGUCUUCAGUGGCAUGGAUUACUCAAGAUUUCUGUUUCUGAAUAGCGUGGUUUACAUGACCUCUCCUAGUCUUCAGUUUUAGUAUCACUGGUAACCACAUUUUCUGGCUUGAUAAAAAUGAAGAGAGACAAGUUAGUUAGCCAGCCACUGUAUGAACUACUAUGGUGUUGCUUUCUCAGCCGUGGACCAAUCCUCUAGAGCCAACAGGACUAAAUCAAAGGGAAUAGAUACAAUUGUCAUCUAGAAGGGGCAAUUCUGUUACAAGAGACUUCUGGCCAGUCUGAAGGUUGGAUUCCCUGAUCCAUGGGAUACCUGGAAAAGUUCCAAAGAUGAUGUAACAUUUGAAGUAAUCCUAAGAGGAAUGCCUGAAUGGAUGGACAGGUACUGAGGGAAUGUGGAGGGAUGAAAAGGAAAGUGAGGGGAGAGUGUGUGCACUUCAGUUUGGCUGGAACAGCAUUUUUCAAACAUUGUAUGCACGCCACUCAUCUGGAGAUCUUGUUAAAAUAUAGACUUUAACUCAAUACAUUCCAGGUAGAGCCUAAGAUUCUGCAUUAUAGAUGGUGUGGAUGUGUUGGGAUUCACUUUGAGUAGUCAGGCUUGAACAAAGGUUAUAACAAAACCCUGAGUGCCUGGCUAAAAGGGCAACACUUAUCUCACCUCAGUAAGUAAUAGGAGACUAGAAAAUGGUAGGACUAGAGCAGUGUUAAAAGACAGGUGAGGAGGAGAUGUUUUAUGAGGUUAAUCCAAAGAGAACUGGAAGACCAGCUACAUGGCAAUUAUAAAGGCGAGGGGGCAGGAUAGGACUACAUCAAGACAGACACAGCAGAAAGGGAGAGAAAGGACACAUGAGAUAGAUAGCUGACGCACAUGACCUUCCUUCUGUCCCUGCUCAGUUUUGCUGUGGUUGACAAGAGGAAGACUCUUCCUCAGGCAUCAUCUGGUGACAUCUUUAUGUGUCCUUCUGAGGGUGUCUGCUUUUCAUUUCAGAUCGCAUCUAAAGACAUAUCCUCUCUUUUACCUCUAACCCUUAAUUUCAUUCUCUCUCUGCCUAACUGCAUUUGCUAUUGUGCGCAACUUGCUGCAUGAGUUAACUAUAUUAGAAGCAUGUAACUGGGUUAUUUCACUAUUAUUUCAUUGUGUACCAGUAACCAAAUUCAGUAACUAUAUUUGUUCUGCUGAGGAGUUUUGGAGGAAGCGUAUCUGAAGGGCACUUGGCAAUGAAGUAAAGUCUAUUACUGCCCUUAUCGCAGUCAGGAAAAUGAUCUGUUUGUUUGCAGUUCACUGGAGUACAUAGCAAAGAAAUUGAAAGAGGGCUUAGGGGGUGUCUGACUGAAGUCCAGAUAUGGAGAUGGAUAUGUACUCUAAAUAUUAUGCUGCGGUUCAAAACUCAAAAAAAAAAAGGCAGUGACAAUAUACAGCAGAGAGGCUUCUAGAUCAUCUAUGGGCAAGGGAAAAAUAGAUAAAGCAGACAGAUCAUAUAUUGGAAUGAAGAAACCCUGUUAUUAACCAGUUUACAUAGUCCCUACUAACAGUUUGAACCAAACCAAAGAUAAGCCUAGUGUUAAAUAAAAAUCUCCACUGAAUUUUCUUAAGGCUAAAGGUUUUGGACUAUCCUGACAUCAUAAGCACAAAUGCAGAAUUCUGUGCUUACCUAAUGGAUUGCUCAAGCUGUUUUCAGAUCAGACUCUUGAUUGCUGAACUUUUGUUUCCCAGGCCCCCAUGCACUAAAUCAUUUUUAUACCAAACAGGACUUUAAAUCCAACCCUUUUUGUAAUUGGACAAGAUUUUGUGCAUGUGAGCGUUUUUAUAGCUCAAAACCAAAUAUUUGGUGCUGACCAGAACACACUAAUAAACAAAACAAUAGUUUUCAUGUAUAAAAAAGAGAGAAAGAAGGAAAAGGAACUGUCCAGCCCCGGGAGAGCUGGUUUGAUUGUGAGGGAACAUAAUCAGAGUUGGAACACAAUGGGGGAAUUGUUCCUGGAGGGAAUCUAGAUUAAGAUUCACACUUUGGCCUCUUCCUAGAACCACCAACCUCCCAAGCCCACAGGUCAUUUUGCUUGACACUGUCACAUCGAUUCACUGCUCGUGGUGGGCGCAACUUUAGAAUCUUAAUGUGCUGGCCAGAAUUAGCUGCAUCUUUAGAGAAGAGGACAAUCUUGACCAUGUUUCCUUUUGGAGAGACUUCCUGGUUGGUCGGAGACAACUGCAAGAUUCCUUGUUAUUCUAAUAAGAGUGGAAUGGAAUGAAAACCUAAUAAGAAAUUCAUUUGAGACAUAUACACGUAUAUAUACUUUACACACAAGCUCGUUUGUCAUAUCAUCAUAUGUAUGUAUAUAAAUACAUAUACAUACACAUGUAUGCAGGUUACAAGCAAACACGAAACUAAACAUGAAGCAAUUGUGCCUUUAGAAGAACGUGGGUUCCAGGAAAAGGUUCUAUGGUGCAAGGAGAAGAGAGUUCCUGUAUUUAGUAUAUGUGACCAUAUGGGUCAAAUGUAUUGUUUCCAUUCCAGAGGAAAAGUGACACCCAGGCCACUAGGCAGCUCCAGGGAUGAGGACUUCAAAGAAAUGAUGGAAACCCAUGCAAGUGGGUAGAGAAACCAAUGGAGAUAACACUAAGCUACUGCCUAGCCUACUUCCACUCCAUGUUGAAGCUCAGGGUUCUGGACCCAUUCCUGAAUGUCCUAGUGAUGAGAGAAGUCUGAGUGGGACAGAAGUGAUUAGCCUGGCAUAGUGACACAUUAGAUUUAUCUCAGAGCUUUUCUCCUGAUGCAGUCCAGAAGGAAACACUCUUAUGACUGCUGCUUUCUAUGCCAUCUCUUUUCCCAAACCUACCAUAUCAAAGAGCCAUUUCCAUCUUAAGUGGCAUCACUCUCCCAAGAGUUGAAGUACGUUAGUAUGUGGUCCCACAACUAUCAAGAUGCUACCACAGAUAUUAGGCAGGGACAUCCAGGGUGCAAGAAGUUGAGGGACAACACAAAAAUAGCUCUUCUAGAAACAUGAAGCUUAUCUAAAGCCAGCAGCAACCAGUCUUGCUGACUGUCAAGCAGAGAAGUCCUUCCUAUCAGGGUCCCCUAAAGAGACAGAGGAAACUGUUUAGCCUCCGUUCUAGGUGCCUUUAGGAGUUCACCCUAUCUCUGCUGCAGACCCUGGGAAAUGAGACCCAAAGCUUCACUUCCUCCUUUGCAGAGAGAGUCAUCAGAGCCAGAUGCACUUACACAAGGUUUACCUUUCCUGUGGGGUACAGGUAAUGGGGGUAAGAGAUAAGACACAAGGUCUCCCUUUGCUAGCCAAGGCAGCCUAGACGGUCAUCUUUGAAGUGUACAGCUGGGGACACAGUAGUCUCAAUCCCAUCAGAGAUAGCAUCGUUCUGGGACCUAGAGUUGCCUGUAUUGUUCAGCCUUCCUCAGAUGUGUAUAGACCAGAACACACCUGAUCCAUCAUCCCCUUCUGUUUCAAGUAGCUGCCAUGAUUUCUGUCCCCUCAGUGGUACAGGACUGGCCUACCAUAAGGGACACCCAGAACUGGCCAAAUUUUUAAAAUAUUCUCCAUUGCAUGACAAAACCAUUUUCAGUGGUAAUCUCAAACUUAUCAGUAAUUAUUCUUCUCAUGAUUCAUUCAUCAGUUUUAAAAGACUAAAUUUCAAUUUUAAAAUAUUAAUCAGAUUUGAUCACUUUUGUGUAUGAAUUACUAAGCCUAAACACAAACUAAAAUUCCAAGGGGUUAUGCGGAAUGACAAGAUUAAGUCCAGUUGCUGAGUUUUUCUCUACCAUCUUGAUACCAUCCCCAUCAGUUGUCUAAACACAAACAAAGCUGGUACCACUGUGACUGGUGACACAACCUGAGCCUGAAGCCAGCCCAACCCGUCUCAUGCUCCUUUACCUUAAUGGGACUUCUCUUAAUUAACUUCCAUACAGAUAAAGUAUUCAUUAAAUGAUAAGUAAUAAAAUAAAUAUGCUAAUUAUAUGUAGAAACAUCCACACAUGUAUGCAUGAAUAUGUGUGCAUACAUACACACACACACACACACACACACACACACACACAAUUAAAAUGCAACAGUCACCCCAGCAACUGUUUAGUACAUGGACCAACAAAAGAUUUGGGGUGAGGAUGAUUUUAUCACUGACAUUGUUUAGAAUUGCUGGUCUGGGAAUAAUAAAAGCCGACUGACUUACAGUCAAUUUUAUUAUUGGUUUUAAAUCCUCUACAGACGACACAGCCCUGCACCGUGUGCGCCAGCAGGGACAGUUCCAGCUUCCCAGUCCGUGAUGUCAGAGGGCCUAGGUGAACAUGUAGGGCAGCUCCAGAAACAGCUUGACUCCACAGAGAGGGUUUCCUGAGAGAAGAGGGGGAUUAAGACACCAGGUAUUGUCACCAAGCACCCCUAACAUUCAUUAGGCAUCAUAGCCCGUGCCUGUGGCACUGCCCUAGAUUUCGAAACGCUACUGAAACACAAAGCUACUGAGCCCCUCGACCACUGGGUGAUGAGGAACUGAGAGCCCCAAACUUCUGAAGCCUGGUGUCAAGUUUUCAUACUGAGGUGACUCAUAGGCUCCAUGGAAAGGAAAAGCGAGCUUCGGUACAACGAAAGCCGUUUCCUGUCAGGAGCGCACUCGCAAAUAUCGGCCUCCACGCGUGUUAACUCAACCGUUGCCAACGCCGCUCUGCAGCCUAUGCCUGACAUCCUUUUUCUGGGCCAGUGAGUGGCACACACAAAAUCCUCAAGGCCGGGAGGAAAAGCCUCUUGCAGAAGUACAGCAUCCUGUGAGGUGGGGUGCAGCCUCUGAGAGAUAGCCAUGCUUCUUUAAG